rnacentral:rRNA from 1 species
AUGGAGGCUAAACAAGUUGUAUGGACAGCUCCGAUGACUUCGUUCAUGCUUGAACACCUAUGCAAGGUUGUGGGUGAUGGAGUUAGAACAUCAACUGGCUUCAAGAAAUGCCAAUUGGCUCGUUGUGCGACUGCUAUGAAUGAGCAUUUUCAGCUCAGUUUGACUCAUGCCAACAUUGGUAAUCACAAUAGGACAUGGAGGAGGAAAUGGGGAACAAUACUCAGACUUAGGGGGUUGAGUGGUGCAUUAUGGGAUGAUGAGCAGUCUAUGAUCGUUCUUGAUCAUGAGCACUACACUAACCAUAUUAAGGACCACAAAGAGGAUGAGCCUUUUCUGAACAAGCCUCUCAAGCACUAUAAUGAGAUGGCUAUCAUUCAUGGCAAUACUAUGGCCACGGGUCAGUAUACGAAAGGCUCAAAUGACCCCCUUGGCACCGAGAUGAAUGACAUUUCAGAUAAUGAGGCUUCCCCACUUGAAGAAGGUAGCAAGUCAAGCAAUGGAGGCGAUUCAGUGGCUCCUAAUCCCAAAAGGGCCAAAACAAAGUCUAGUGUUGAUGAGGGGCUGCAAUCAACCCUUAUGGCAGUGGGUGAAAGGCUUGCUAUUGCCAUAGAGAGGAGUGUUAGCACCGACAACAGCUCCACGAGCAUCUCUACGAACAACUCCAUGGUGGGCCUUUGGGAGGGCAUGAAAGAUAUUCCCUUUUUCGGUAUUGAUUACCUUGCCCAUUAUUUUGCCUACUUGGUUGAGAAUCCGAACAUUGCAAUGGCGUUUCAACUCUUGGAGAAGGACCAAAAGAGUAUUUGGGUUGCUAGGUAUGUCAAGAACACCUUCCCUCCAAUGGAUGAUUGA